GUGUUAUAUGAGAGGAGAGAAGGUUAAAACUUCCCUUGAAAAGGGUGCAAGAGUCUCUUGGGCCUAACACCAUGCAUAUGGUUAGAGCAUCACCACCCGCUUCGUGAUAGCUAAUCAUGGCUUUUG